UCACCUUUUUAUUACAACCUUUUGCUUGUCUGGCUGAAUUCAGGGUCCUCUGUUUCUGAUUCAUGACAGCGCGGGGGAGCUGAGUUGCCCAGCGGGGACACAUGCUGCCGGAUACAGCAUGGAUUCGUGGGGAGCUUGGAAGUAAAUGUGUCUGUCUAUUUUGUCCAUAGAGGAUGUGGAAGAUGCUUUCAUAAUUGGAUUUAUGAAAACAGAAUUUCUGCUUAUUGGAGCUGGCGGUUACCUGAUAUAUCAAGAAAUGCGGAAGAUCUCGAUGUCAGUCAUGGUUGCCUCACACUUUGGAUCCCGCUCCAAGCGCUCUCUCGUGCUCUGACGUCCCAAUGCCUACUGGCUUUCAUCGCUCUGGAUCCCAUUCCAGGCGCUCCCUUGUGCUAAAGUUCCACUCCGAGGCUUCCAUGAUGUUACCAAGCCAGCUGAGGACCCCACCGUAUCUCUUGGAUUCCUCCAGUUGUCAGUCGCUCCUCGCUGUCAUGCCGUUUGGACUCUACCCACCCUCCACCUGUCAGUUCCCCUGUUUUCCUCAUUCCCCCAGGCCAGGGUCCGCUCAACGCACAUGUGCGUCUGACCCAGCCUUCCAUGGCUCCGGUGCCUCCUGUGCUCUAACUCCAGCCCUGUUGCGGUCAUACCACUCAGAAACCUGAAUAAAUCCCUUGAAACCGUUCUCCUGAGUGUGUGCUCUGCAUGUGGGUCAAACAUUUGAAAACCAUGACAGAAG